rnacentral:rRNA from 1 species
UGGUGGAGUGAUUUGUCUGGUUAAUUCCGUUAACGAACGAGACCUCAGCCUGCUAAUUAAUUUCAACAAGGUUGAUUGUUAAAGUAUCUUGGAGGGACUCUCGGUUAUUAAUCGAUGGAAGUCUGAGGUAAUAACA